UACGGAGGGUGCGAGCGUUAAUCGGAAUUACUGGGCGUAAAGCGCACGCAGGCGGUUUGUUAAGCUAGAUGUGAAAGCCCCGGGCUCAACCUGGGAUGGUCAUUUAGAACUGGCAGACUAGAGUCUUGGAGAGGGGAGUGGAAUUCCAGGUGUAGCGGUGAAAUGCGUAGAUAUCUGGAGGAACAUCAGUGGCGAAGGCGACUCCCUGGCCAAAGACUGACGCUCAUGUGCGAAAGUGUGGGUAGCGAACAGU
rnacentral:rRNA from 1 species